UGACCUGUGGUGACAGAGCAGCGCACUGUGACAGAUUCAAUAUAGGAAUAAGAUCACCAAAAAUCUUCCUUAAAACUUGAUAUAAGCCUCAUCUCAGAAUGUGGAGGACUACGCUUGGUGUCGGGCUGAGUGUGUUCUUGGCACUAGCUGAAGCCAAGAGGGAGUGCUUCGCUGACCUGGAGGGACCCAAAGAUGACCCAAACAACAUCUACAAGUGCGCUGACUCAGAAAAAUGUUGCCAAGAAGGUGGUGAACCAACGUGCUGCCGAGAGAAGGACACUGAUGUG